rnacentral:rRNA from 1 species
AGGAUAAACGCUGGCGGCGUGCCUAACACAUGCAAGUCGAACGUCUCUUCUUUCGGGAAGAGGAGUGGCGGACGGGUGAGGAACACGUGGGAACCUGCCCUUCAGUGAGGAAUACCGGCGAGAAAUCGCCGACAAGACCGCAUAGCCCUCUCUGGUGAGAGCCAGAGAAGGAAAGCUUCGCAAGAGGCGCUGGAGGAGGGGCCUGCGUCCGAUUAGCUAGUUGGUGGGGUAAGAGCCUACCAAGGCGUCGAUCGGUAGCUGGUCUGAGAGGACGAUCAGCCACACUGGGAUUGAGAACGGCCCAGACUCCUACGGGGGCAGCAGUGAGGAAUUUUCGGCAAUGGGGGAAACCCUGACCGAGCAACGCCGCGUGCAGGAAGACGGCCUCGGUUGUAAACUGCUUUUCUUUGGGUACGAGCAAGGACGGUACCAGAGGAAUCAGCCCGGCUCACUACGUGCCAGCAGCCGC